rnacentral:rRNA from 1 species
GACGAACGCUGGCGGCGUGCUUAACACAUGCAAGUCGAACGGAAAGGCCCUGCUUUUGUGGGGUGCUCGAGUGGCGAACGGGUGAGUAACACGUGAGUAACCUGCCCUUGACUUUGGGAUAACUUCAGGAAACUGGGGCUAAUACCGGAUAGGAGCCCCUGCUGCAUGGUGGGGGUUGGAAAGUUUCGGCGGUUGGGGAUGGACUCGCGGCUUAUCAGCUUGUUGGUGGGGUAGUGGCUUACCAAGGCUUUGACGGGUAGCCGGCCUGAGAGGGUGACCGGCCACAUUGGGACUGAGAUACGGCCCAGACCCCUACGGGAGGCAGCAGUGGGGAAUAUUGCACAAUGGGCGGAAGCCUGAUGCAGCAACGCCGCGUGCGGGAUGACGGCCUUCGGGUUGUAAACCGCUUUCGCCUGUGACGAAGCGUGAGUGACGGUAAUGGGUAAAGAAGCACCGGCUAACUACGUG